ACACUGUUCCCAGCUGCCGGGGGGAAGAUGCUAAGGGGAAGAGCCGUUGCUGGUAUGAAGCAGCCCUGCGUGAUGGCAACCCAAUUAUUGUUUAUCUUCAUGGCAGUGCACAACACAGGGCAGCUUCUCAUAGACUUGAGCUAGUAAAGGUGCUGAGUGAUGGUGGUUUUCAUGUUUUGUCUGUUGACUACAGAGGUACGUGUUAAGAGUACAAAGAUUUUUCAAUAAGUAGGAGGCUUCUGAUGUUCCUCAUUUUGGAGGCAGUGAUACUGUGUUUGCCUUUCCUUGCUGCCAGGAUUCGGGGACUCAACGGGUAAGCCCACAGAGGAGGGACUGACUGCAGAUGCUAUUUGUGUCUAUGAGUGGACCAAGGCAAGAAGUGGUACCACCCCUGUGUGUCUCUGGGGCCACUCUCUGGGUACAGGGUAAGUGGGAUCUGAAGAUGGGUCCUUAGUGGGUCCUUAGGGCAUUAGUGUCAUAUCAUAGGCAGCAGUGAGUGGUGGGAGGAUCUCUGAGCCAGGAGACAGGGACUCCUCUAUUUUCUCUCAUAUCCCACAAGUGGCUAGUUACCUUGCCACCUCAGUGUGUUUGUGUGUAACACAAGGGAAAGUUUAGUUCUAUGGUUGUGUACGGCACUGAAGUCCAUUCUUAGAAUUCUCCUUGAGAGUUUUAAAUAAAAGGAUUUUUGUUUAGGGCCAGUGGAACCCCUUGAAAUCCUGUGUGAAAUUUUGUGUCUAUGGCCAUUUGAGGGUCCAGAGUUUUCAUCCAGAGUUUCAUACUGGAUGUUGCCUUUUGUACUGUUUACU